UUAUUACCUGUACGGAAUUUCGUUAAUAAUUUUCCUCGUGUCGAAGUAUGACACUAUGACACAACGGUAGUGUUCCGAACAAUAUUCGGUCAGUACGUUCGAAAAUUGUACGGAUAUUUUGUUAAAAACCUCUACAUUUAAAUCUCUAUAUUAUUAUAGCGAAUGGAUAUCAUUGUUUUCGCCAUAUUUCGACUGUUUUGUAAAGAGAUUAUAACUGUUAUAACACUUAUAGGUGUUACGUUUUAUUUACCACGUGAUCGAGCAGAUUGGCGAUUCAACAUGCUUUUAAUUGUUAAGCUAUUUUAAAAUGAUACAAAU